GGAGUGGUCGCAUAGUUGGCCUAGUGCGCACGAUUGGAAAUCGUGUACCGGUGUAAAAGCCGGUCGUGGGUUCGAAUCCCACCCACUCCG
rnacentral:tRNA from 1 species